AGGCACUGGUAAGACCUCAUCUGGAAUGCUGUGUGUAAUUCUUGUCUGCCUUAUUUAAGAAGGGUGAAUUCACACUGGAACAGGUGCGGAGAAGAACUAGUAGAAUGAUCAGAAGAAUGGAAAAGCUGUUUUAUGAAAG